AUACGUAGGGGGCAAGCGUUGUCCGGUAUGACUGGGCGUAAAGGGCGUGUAGGCGGUUGAGUAAGUUGGGAGUGAAACUCCUGUUUUCAAGGCAGGAACUGCUCUCAAAACUGCUUGACUUGAGUGCGGAAGAGGUAAGUGGAAUUCCCAGUGUAGCGGUGAAAUGCGUAGAGAUUGGGAGGAACACCAGUGGCGAAGGCGACUUACUGGGCCGUAACUGACGCUGAGGCGCGAAAGCGUGGGGAGCAAACAGGAUUAGAUACCCUGGUAGUCCACGCUGUAAACGAUGAUUACUAGGUGUUGGGGACCUAUAGGUCUUCGGUGCCGCAGCAAACGCAAUAAGUAAUCCACCUGGGGAGUACGUUCGCAAGAAUGAAACUCAAAGGAAUUGACGGGG
rnacentral:rRNA from 1 species